rnacentral:rRNA from 1 species
GAUGAACGCUGGCGGCAUGCCUUACACAUGCAAGUCGAACGGCAGCAUGGAGAGCUUGCUCUCUGAUGGCGAGUGGCGAACGGGUGAGUAAUGCAUCGGAACGUACCGUGUAAUGGGGGAUAACGUAGCGAAAGUUACGCUAAUACCGCAUACGACCUGAGGGUGAAAGCAGGGGAUCGCAAGACCUUGCGUUAUACGAGCGGCCGAUGUCAGAUUAGCUAGUUGGUGAGGUAAAGGCUCACCAAGGCGACGAUCUGUAGCGGGUCUGAGAGGAUGAUCCGCCACACUGGGACUGAGACACGGCCCAGACUCCUACGGGAGGCAGCAGUGGGGAAUUUUGGACAAUGGGGGCAACCCUGAUCCAGCCAUGCCGCGUGAGUGAAGAAGGCCUUCGGGUUGUAAAGCUCUUUCGGCCGGGAAGAAAUCGCACAGGCUAAUACUCUGUGUGGAUGACGGUACCGGCAUAAGAAGCACCGGCUAACUACGUGCCAGCCGCCGCCGUAA